CACAACACCCGGUGCCAAGCAGGUGUUCAGAGCUGAGAACGGUUGGAAAACUGGAUGGAAACAGCCGGGCCUCGAAGUGGGCAGUGGUGUGGCGAUUGAGGUGCUGACAGCUGAGCCAUUCCACACACCUUUGGGGCAAAGAAGUGCCGGAAGCCAGGGCCAAGUUCAAAGACCAAACAUUCUUUCCAAGGCGACCAGAAGCACCCUGGAGGGCUGGCUCCUAGUUACAUAAACCGCAGUCCCGUCCCACUGUCCCAGAGCUGUUGAGGAGACGCUGAGGAUUGAAAAGGUGCAGACCGUUCCUGCUCGUCUCCGACACAUUUCCCAGGACUCCCAGCUCCGCCUGUCAGCAAGGAAGGGUGCGAUCAGGGGUACUUGGGAGCAGGGGAGCCAAGCCUCUAGACACAGGCAAUGUCAAUAACAGCAACGGAUAACCAAGAGGAAUAAGCCAAACACGGACGGAGAAGGAUCAGGAUCAGUCCGACACCGGGAUCACUGUCUGAAACCACUGGCCACCCUCUGCAGGCUGGAGAGGUGGUGACAGCUGAGCCAUGAUGGAGAUGAGGAAGUUACAUUAUUUCCUGGCCCUGACCACUAGCUGGAGUCAAUACUUGGAUGGUGCUCCAUGCAGAUGGUCCCUGCCAAGCAGAAUGAGUCUCCAGCAUAUGGUUAACAGUAGCAACUAUGACUCUGACGUCAUCUCAUGUGCAGGGGGUGUAGGGAGAGACAGGAGCUGCACUCUGAAGCUAGAAUACUGAGUUCAAAUCCCAACGUUGUUCCUCAUGACCAUCAACAAGUUCCUUAGCUUCUCUGUGGCUCAAUUUCCUGCUUUUUAAAAGGAAUUUAAUGUAUUGCUUAAAAGUAAGUGACUUCAGAAGGCAUCUGUGACAUCAAACAGUAUUUGUGACAUUUUGUGAGGUUCUUCUUCACCCUCCUCUGGUUUUGAUUUUUGUUUUUUGUCUUUUUUUUUUUUUUGAGACAGGAUUCUUCUGUGUAGCCUUGGCUGUCCUGGAGCUCCUCUGUAGCCUAGGCUGGCCUUGAACUCACAGAGAUCUGCUUGCCUCUACCUCCUGAGUGCUAAGAUUAAAGGCGAUCACCAUCACCACCUAGCUCUGUUUCUUACUUUACAUGCAUGAUGAACUCAACAGUCAUUAAAAAAAAGCGUUCUGUAAGCUAGGUGGUGGUGGCACACACGUUUAAUCCCAGUCCUGGAGGCAGAGGCAGAGGACAGCCUGGGCUAUACAGUAAAAAUUCCAGGACAACCAGGACUACACAGAGAAACCCUGCCUCAAAAACAAACAAAUAAACAAAAUGUUGUAGUGUUGUAUAUAUGAAAAUGUCACAGUGUCACCCAUUACUAUGUAUAAUUAAUUUUUGCUAAUAAAAUGUCACGCCUAUCAUAUGGA
rnacentral:sRNA from 1 species